GACGAACGCUGGCGGCGUGCUUAACACAUGCAAGUCGAACGGUGAACCUCUUCGGAGGGGAUCAGUGGCGAACGGGUGAGUAACAUGUGGGCAACCUGCCCCCGGCUCUGGGAUAACUCCAAGAAAUUGGGGCUAAUACCGGAUGUUCACCGCUUCCCGCAUGGGUGGUGGUGGAAAGGGUUUCCGGCUGGGGAUGGGCCCGCGGCCUAUCAGCUUGUUGGUGGGGUAGUGGCCUACCAAGGCGACGACGGGUAGCCGGCCUGAGGGGGUGACCGGCCACACUGGGACUGAGACACGGCCCAGACUCCUACGGGAGGCAGCAGUGGGGAAUAUUGCGCAAUGGGCGGAAGCCUGACGCAGCGACGCCGCGUGGGGGAUGACGGCCUUCGGGUUGUAAACCUCUUUCAGCAGGGACGAAGCGCAAGUGACGGUACCUGCAGAAGAAGCACCGGCCAACUACGUG
rnacentral:rRNA from 1 species